UUUGGUGAAAUUCUGGAAAAAAAUUAAGUGGCGCCACCGUAGGGCUCGCCGGAGAAGACGACCGGAGCAGAGCUCCGGCGUCUGUGUUGGUUAGGGUUUUGCUGAUGUGUGAGCCACGUGUUUCACUGCGUGGCAAUGUGAUUGGAGGAGAGUGUUUUGAUUGGGAACACGCGUGCCUUGAUCGAUGACUGUGCGUGCUGACUGGUUUAAUGAAACGCAGCGUUUCAUCCAUUCAAAC
rnacentral:lncRNA from 1 species